rnacentral:rRNA from 1 species
AACGAACGCUGGCGGCAUGCCUAACACAUGCAAGUCGAACGAGACCUUCGGGUCUAGUGGCGCACGGGUGCGUAACGCGUGGGAACCUGCCCUUAGGUUCGGAAUAACUCCCCGAAAGGGGUGCUAAUACCGGAUAAUGUCUUCGGACCAAAGAUUUGUCGCCUUUGGAUGGGCCCGCGUUGGAUUAGCUUGUUGGUAGGGUAAAGGCCUACCAAGGCGACGAUGGGUAGCUGGUCUGAGAGGAUGAUCAGCCACAUUGGGACGGAGAUACGGCCCAGACUGCUACGGGAGGCAGCAGGGGGGAAUAGUGCACGAUGGGCGGAAGCAUGAUGCAGCAGCGCCGCGUGGGGGAUGACGGCCUUCGGGUUGGAAACCGAUUUCGCCUGUGACGAAGCGUGAGUGACGGUAAUGGGUAAAGAAGCACCGGCUAACUACGUG